GACGAACGCUGGCGGCGUGCCUAAUACAUGCAAGUAGGACGCAGUUGCGAACGGGUGAGUAACGCGUAGGUAACUGCUUAUUAGAGGGGGAGAACUAUUGGAAACGAUAGCUAAUACCGCAUACUUGUAGAUGGACCUGCGUUGUAUUAGUUAGUAGGUAGGGUAAUGGCCUACCUAGGCAACGAUACAUAGCCGACCUGGGAGGGGGAUCUGCCCAACCGGGACUGAGACACGGCCCAGACUCCUACGGGAAGCAGCAGGAGGGAAUCUUCGGCAAUGGGGCGAACCCUGACCAAGCAACGCCGCGUGAGGGAAGAAGGGUUUCGGAUCGUAAAGCUCUGUUGUUAAGGAAGCGGUACUUAACCAGAAAGGGACGGCUAACUACGUGCCAGCAGCCGCGGUAAUUC
rnacentral:rRNA from 1 species